CCUACGGGCGGCUGCAGUGGGGAAUAUUGGACAAUGGGCGAAAGCCUGAUCCAGCGACGCCGCGUGGGUGAAGAAGGCCUGCGGGUUGUAAAGCCCUUUCGUUGGGGAAGAAAAGUGUCGACCUAACACGUCGGCACCUUGACGUUACCCAAAGAAGAAGCACCGGCUAACUCUGUGCCAGCAGCCGCGGUAAUACAGAGGGUGCGAGCGUUAAUCGGAAUUACUGGGCGUAAAGCGCACGUAGAUGGCUUCGUAAGUCGGAUGUGAAAUCCCCG
rnacentral:rRNA from 1 species